GAGAAUCAAACUAUAUGUUCUAAAUAACGUAAUUUUUAAAAGAUCAUAUAAAUUGCUACUAAUUUAAAACUCACUUGGUUAAACCAUAUUACAAAACUUGUGAAUAAUGUAAUGAAUUCGGAAUCAGGUUUCAAGGUGCUCUAGGCACAGUAGAUGUUUACAUAUUGCUUUGAGGAAGAUAUCCACAAUUUUUUUUAUUUUUUUUUGUCAAACAUGUUGACAUAUGGUAGUGGUAAAAGCAUGUAUAAUACUUGCUCGUAAGCUAAUAAAAAAAAGUGAGCUGUUUUGUUUCUGUGAGAUAUCAACUUGCUAGAUACCGCCACUUUGUGUUUUCCAAAAUUCCAAAUAAAAUCUUUCGGUUCC
rnacentral:lncRNA from 1 species